rnacentral:rRNA from 1 species
CCGAACCGACUAGUGUUGCAAAAUUAGCGGAUGAGCUGUGGAUAGGGGUGAAAGGCUAAACAAAUCUGGAGAUAGCUGGUUCUCCCCGAAAACUAUUGAGGUAGUGCCUCGUGUAUGGCUCCAGGGGGUAGAGCACUGUUAUGGCUAGGGGGACAUGGCGUCUUACCAAACCAUGGCAAACUCCGAAUACUUGGAAGUCUGAGCACGGGAGACAGAGCACCGGGUGCUAACGUCCGGACUCAAAAGGGAAACAACCCAGACCGCCGGCUAAGGUCCCUAAUAUUGACUAAGUGGAAAACGAAGUGGGAAGGCUAAGACAGUCAGGAAGUUGGCUUAGAAGCAGCCAUCCUUCAAAGAAAGCGUAAUAGCUCACUGAUCGAGUCUUCCUGCGCGGAAGAUGUAACGGGGCUAAGUCAAUAACCGAAGCCGCGGAUUCGCAGCAAUGCGAGUGGUAGGGGAGCGUUCUGUAAGCCUGCGAAGGCGGAUCUGCGAGGACCGCUGGAGGUAUCAGAAGUGCGAAUGCUGACAUGAGUAACGUUAAAGCGGGUGAAAAGCCCGCUCGCCGCAAGCCCAAGGUUUCCUGCUCUACGUUCAUCGGAGCAGGGUGAGUCGGCCCCUAAGGUCAGGCUGAGAAGCGUAGCUGAUGGGAAGCUGGUUAAUAUUCCAGCACCGAUUUCAAGUGCGAAGGGGGGACGGAGUCCUGAAGGUCAUCCGGGUGUUGGAUAUCCCGGUUUACGAGCGUAGGAGGUUGACAGGCAAAUCCGUCAACGAAUCUCCAAGGCGAAGGAUCGAGGUUGAGAGAUCAACUGAAGUGACUGAAUGGGCUUCCAGGAAAAGCCUCUAAGCAUCAGCUUGGAAUUGACCGUACCGCAAACCGACACUGGUGGGCGAGCUGAAUAUGCUCAGGCGCUUGAGAGAACUCAGGAGAAGGAACUCGGCAAAUUGACACCGUAACUUCGGGAUAAGGUGUGCCUUUGUAGUGUGAAGGGAGAAACACCCCGAGCAUGAAGAGGCCUCAGAGAAUCGGUGGCUGCAACUGUUUACUAAAAACACAGCACUCUGCAAAGAUGAAAGUCGACGUAUAGGGUGUGAUGCCUGCCCGGUGCUGGAAGAUUAAUUGAUGGGGUGCAAGCUCCUGAUCGAAGUCCCAGUAAACGGCGGCCGUAACUAUAACGGUCCUAAGGUAGCGAAAUUCCUUGUCGGGCAAGUUCCGACCUGCACGAAUGGCAUAAUGAUGGCCACACUGUCUCCUCCUGAGACUCAGUGAAGUUGAAAUGUUUGUGAUGAUGCAAUCUCCCCGCGGCUAGACGGAAAGACCCCAUGAACCUUUACUGCAGCUUUGCAUUGGACUUUGAACCGAUCUGUGUAGGAUAGGUGGGAGGCAGUGAAGCUAGGACGCCAGUCUUAGCGGAGCCAACCUUGAAAUACCACCCUGAUUUGUUUGAGGUUCUAACCUAGGAGCGUGAUCCGCUUCGGGGACCGUGCAUGGUAGGCAGUUUGACUGGGGCGGUCUCCUCCUAAAGGGUAACGGAGGAGUGCGAAGGUACGCUAGGUACGGUCGGAAAUCGUGCUGAUAGUGCAAUGGCAAAAGCGUGCUUGACUGCGAGACCGACAAGUCGAGCAGAUACGAAAGUAGGUCAUAGUGAUCCGGUGGCUCUGCAUGGAAGGGCCAUCGCUCAACGGAUAAAAGGUACUCUGGGGAUAACAGGCUGAUACCGCCCAAGAGUUCAUAUCGACGGCGGUGUUUGGCACCUCGAUGUCGGCUCAUCUCAUCCUGGGGCUGUAGCCGGUCCCAAGGGUAUGGCUGUUCGCCAUUUAAAGAGGUACGUGAGCUGGGUUUAAAACGUCGUGAGACAGUUUUGUCCCUAUCUGCCGUGGGCGUUGGAAGAUUGACGGGGGCUGCUCCUAGUACGAGAGGACCGGAGUGGACUCACCUCUGGUGUACCGGUUGUCACGCCAGUGGCAUCGCCGGGUAGCUAUGUGGGGAA